rnacentral:ncRNA from 2 species
CUCUUAUCAAGAAAGGCGGAGGGAUCAGGCCCUGUGAUGCCUUAGCAACCGCCCCGGUUUAACCGCCGGGGGUCAGGUGCUAAAUCCUGCCCGGCUGGUGCAUGCACUGGCUUGGGGAAGAUGAGAG